GAUGAACGCUGGCGGCGUGCUUAACACAUGCAAGUCGAACGAUGAAGCCCAGCUUGCUGGGUGGAUUAGUGGCGAACGGGUGAGUAACACGUGAGUACCCUGCCCUUGACUCUGGGAUAAGCCUGGGAAACUGGGUCUAAUACUGGAUAUGACUUCUCAUCGCAUGGUGGGGGGUGGAAAGAUUUAUUGGUCUUGGAUGGACUCGCGGCCUAUCAGCUUGUUAGUGAGGUAAUGGCUCACCAAGGCGACGACGGGUAGCCGGCCUGAGAGGGUGACCGGCCACACUGGGACUGAGACACGGCCCAGACUCCUACGGGAGGCAGCAGUGGGGAAUAUUGCACAAUGGGCGCAAGCCUGAUGCAGCGACGCCGCGUGAGGGAUGACGGCCUUCGGGUUGUAAACCUCUUUCAGUAGGGAAGAAGCGAGAGUGACGGUACCUGCAGAAGAAGCGCCGGCUAACUACGUG
rnacentral:rRNA from 1 species